rnacentral:rRNA from 1 species
UGUGGCUGGGGGUGAAAGGCCAAUCAAACCGGGAGAUAGCUGGUUCUCCCCGAAAGCUAUUUAGGUAGCGCCUCGUGAACUCAUCUCCGGGGGUAGAGCACUGUUUCGGCAAGGGGGUCAUCCCGACUUACCAACCCGAUGCAAACUGCGAAUACCGGAGAAUGUUAUCACGGGAGACACACGGCGGGUGCUAACGUCCGUCGUGAAGAGGGAAACAACCCAGACCGCCAGCUAAGGUCCCAAAGUCAUGGUUAAGUGGGAAACGAUGUGGGAAGGCCCAGACAGCCAGGAUGUUGGCUUAGAAGCAGCCAUCAUUUAAAGAAAGCGUAAUAGCUCACUGGUCGAGUCGGCCUGCGCGGAAGAUGUAACGGGGCUAAACCAUGCACCGAAGCUGCGGCAGCGACGCUUAUGCGUUGUUGGGUAGGGGAGCGUUCUGUAAGCCUGUGAAGGUGUGCUGUGAGGCAUGCUGGAGGUAUCAGAAGUGCGAAUGCUGACAUAAGUAACGAUAAAGCGGGUGAAAAGCCCGCUCGCCGGAAGACCAAGGGUUCCUGUCCAACGUUAAUCGGGGCAGGGUGAGUCGACCCCUAAGGCGAGGCCGAAAGGCGUAGUCGAUGGGAAACAGGUUAAUAUUCCUGUACUUGGUGUUACUGCGAAGGGGGGACGGAGAAGGCUAUGUUGGCCGGGCGACGGUUGUCCCGGUUUAAGCGUGUAGGCUGGUUUUCCAGGCAAAUCCGGAAAAUCAAGGCUGAGGCGUGAUGACGAGGCACUACGGUGCUGAAGCAACAAAUGCCCUGCUUCCAGGAAAAGCCUCUAAGCAUCAGGUAACAUCAAAUCGUACCCCAAACCGACACAGGUGGUCAGGUAGAGAAUACCAAGGCGCUUGAGAGAACUCGGGUGAAGGAACUAGGCAAAAUGGUGCCGUAACUUCGGGAGAAGGCACGCUGAUAUGUAGGUGAAGUCCCUUGCGGAUGGAGCUGAAAUCAGUCGAAGAUACCAGCUGGCUGCAACUGUUUAUUAAAAACACAGCACUGUGCAAACACGAAAGUGGACGUAUACGGUGUGACGCCUGCCCGGUGCCGGAAGGUUAAUUGAUGGGGUCAGCGCAAGCGAAGCUCUUGAUCGAAGCCCCGGUAAACGGCGGCCGUAACUAUAACGGUCCUAAGGUAGCGAAAUUCCUUGUCGGGU